rnacentral:rRNA from 1 species
CCCUUAGAUGUUCUGGGCCGCACGCGUGCUACACUGAGUGGAUCAGCGGGUCAGGUUGCGCGAAAGUGUUUCCUAAUCUUUAAAUCCGCUCGUGAUGGGGAUUGACGGUUGCAAUUUUCCGUCAUGAACGAGGAAUACCUUGUAAGCGCGGGUCAUCAUCCCGCGCUGAAUACGUCCCUGCCCUUUGUACACACCGCCCGUCGCUCCUACCGAUUGAGUGGCCCGGUGAGGCUUUGGGAUCUGAGCGGAAAGAGCGUUUCGCUGUUUCUGCCCGGAAAACUCAGUCGAACCUUAUCAUUUAGAGGAAGGAGAAGUCGUAACA